GAGUAACACGUUGGAACCUGCCCCAAACGUGAGGAAUAAGCCACCGAAAGGUGGUCUAAUACUUCAUAAUAUCCAUCUCGUAUGGAUUAAAGCUUUAUGCGCUUUGGAGGGGCCUGCGUAACAUUAGCUAGUUGGUGAGGUAAAAGCUCACCAAGGCUUCGAUGUUUAACUGGUUUGAGAGGAUGACCAGUCACACUGGGACUGAGAUACGGCCCAGACUCCUACGGGAGGCAGCAGUAAGGAAUCUUCCACAAUGGGGCAACCCUGAUGGAGCAAUACCGCGUGCAGGAUGAAGCGUUUCGGCGUGUAAACUGCUUUUAUCACCGAAGAUUAUGACUGUAGGUGAAGAAUAAGGACCGGCUAACUACGUG
rnacentral:rRNA from 1 species